ensembl:lncRNA
AGCAAUUUUCUGUUUUGUUAGUCUACCGGGCCCGUGUCGGUUUUUGAUGACGUCAGAGUUAUGGCUGCUCUCACGGUACCGUGCAGGGCUUGUGCGUUUCUCCGCUAAAGAAAAUUUAGAAAAUCGUCAAAGAUAUCGUUUAGAUAUCGCCACUGAGGGAGACAGACCGGGUAAACUCCCAACACCGAGACCGUGUCUCCAAGACGCUGUGGUUUGAAAGUGCGGGCCGCGUUCGGGCCUGCUGCUGCGGGCUAGCCAGCUAAGCUACUUCACCGCCAGAGAAACGACAGACGGCUCCUCAUUGGCAAAUAAGCUAGCUAAGCUAGCCAGCUAGUCGGCUAGCUUGAAAAUUGACGUUUUGGUCGUCCAUCUCAUGUCACUUGCCAUAAAACCUAGCAGGUAACCUCAUUCCAAAUGAUUGCUACACAAUUAUCUCUGUCUUGCAAAAAUAUGCAUUAUGUGAAGUUGGGCGUUUCUGGAUGCGGAUAGCUCAUUAGCUGGCUUGUUCGCUAACAAGCUAACGGUAACAUAUCAGGGUCAUUCAUAACUUCACUUAGGGUUGUUUUUUUUUUUGUUUGUUUUUUAAAAUGUAUUUAAAACCACAUCAUGCUUAAGCAUAUAGUGUUUAUAUCUGUAUUUGCAGUAACAUUACUGUUUUGUCUUGACACGCAAAUAUUUAAUGUAAACACUGUCCUCUCUUAAAAAUGGUAGGUUAUAUGAUUUUUCUGUUCUCUCAUUUGUUAAAACGCAUUUGGAAUUCAAUAACUUAUUUGUAAUAGCCCAUGUUUAUUCAAACACUUGGAUUGAUUUAUUUUCUUAAGAUGCUUUUGUGGCAGCCCUUAAACCCACGACUCACUAAAUCUAGCUACACGAGUAUUAGCUUAAAAAAGGCUCCACCCUGAAACACGUUUCUGUGUAAAGUAUUUAUGAUUCUUGUGUUAAUUUGUUGGUUGGUGAAGUAUUUUUGUAAUUCCUGUUAGAACUUAGCAGGUGUGUGCUGCUCUGAAGACAGGGAGACAGUGAUAGAGCAGUGUUGUUUAAUGGGAGAAAAUAUUUCAACAAUCUUAAAC